GUCCAGAUUUAUAAGAGCCACAGAUCCUCGGCACUGGUUUGGCACAAGACUUCCCGAGCAGGACAUGUAAACCACAAAAAUUAGCCAGUAUCCAGGGCUGCUCACAGCUUUGCUUCUUGUGAGAUUAAAGGAAGAUGAUGGUCUUAAAAUGGUUUUACUACAAGAAAACUUCCCCCACAAGGAGUAUACCUGUUGUCUUCCCCUGAGGCCUCACACUGCCAGUCUGAGGAGUUUACACCUAAAUGAUAGAUCCAGAGGUUUACCACAGAGCAUGGGGAGACAAUGCAGAAAGGUUCCUGGCCAACAUAUCACCAAAAAUAACAGGAUUACAGUAUGAACUGUACGCCACACUGAAUGCAUCCCCACCUGAUGAAAGGUCUUGAGAUGGCCAGGACGGUCCGGAUGAACCACGUUGGGUAGGGUCUGAUGACCUGCAUGUCGAUCCUCUGCUCCUGGUCACCGAUGAUCACUGUUCGCCAAAGACGACCAGAAGAGUCUCUCUCCUCUUCCCCCUCACCUGGAAGACGCUUGGCAGUGGCCACAGGAGUGUCGUCUGGACAACAAGCUCUGUGCCAUUGUUGAUGAACUCCAGCGAGUCCGUCUCAUCAGGCGUCUCGAUGUCGUCCACGUUGAUGUCCAGGUCGUCUGGUGUUUCCAGGAAGUCAUCAGAGAGCACUGAGCCCUCGCUCUGAUCCAGGGACAGGUUCAUGUCGGGGGCGACCAGAGUGCGGCGCUUGCGCUGUGCAACAGUCUCGCCAACAUUCAGAGUGGUUGGAGGAUCUGUACCAACAUAAAUAUAAUAAGUAUAUAUUCAAAACUUUAAUACUGCUGUUAAUUAAUCUAUGAUACUCACUGGUUCUGUUGUCAGUGAGGCCACAUGAAGAAUCUCCAUCUUCUGGAAGCGGCCUGCAGAGAGAGACAUGAACAAAGCAGAAUAAAAUAACUCUGUUUUCCAGCUAACUUUUUAAUAAUAGCUAUUUAUGAGAUUUAAACUGUUGAAUAAACUACCAUGACGAAGAUAGUACUGAAGAUAAACCACAAAGUAUAUACUUGUAUUCUCACUUUGCCUUUUAUUUAUGGAGUGUCUCCUUUGUGAUUUUACUACAGUGUGUCCUUGGAAACAAUGUGUUGUUUGAAAUAAGCAACACCAGUAAUUACCAGCUCCCCUCUGACAUUAUAAUAAGAGUUGAAGUGUCUGCACUGAAGGGCAAGAAGGUUAGAUUAUAGUCACACACACUUCACACAGACAGAGAAAUACAUUGACAAAGACAUGCAUGUAUAUAGAAACACACCCAAAUCACCACAAGUACAGGCUAGUUGACGGUGCUACUGGAGUACUGGUAAUUGCAGUUAUUAUGUUGUCAGUGGCUUUGUAGAGGCGAGGUAAAGACAGCACCAACAGAUAUUAAAGAGACGAUUAAAGAGCGGGGAGGAGGGAAACUAUUAGCAGGGUGAAAGCAUUCUUAAACAUGUUUCUAUCGGACUUCACCUGUCUGCAGCUUUCUUUAUUGGUAUUCAUGAAAACAUGUAAAUAGUUGAGAUCACAAUGAAAUACAAAACAAAAAAUACCAAUUCCAUUAAACGUUGUCUGUCUCGCCAUGCAGAACCCUUUUGUCUGCCCUUAAAGAUUUAAUUAUAUUGUAUUCUAUAAGCUUUUGAGCUACAAGGCAAUUAUUGCUCCCUAUAAAGACAAAGAUGAAACACAGAAGAUCAAGCACAUCCAUGUUUUAACUGCUUAACAUGUAAACUGUAAACAAUGUGCUGUGGAUGCUGUUGAACUCAUUAAAUAAUGACUACCCAAAUAUA